GGGGGCGAACGGUUUCGACGGGUGUGAGAUCCCCCAGGAAGCGAGCCGAGGUCUCCACCACCUCGUAAAAAAGGUGGAGCCAAAAAGAAGUGCCAACUACGAAAUGGCUCUCGCUGCCUAAUAGAGAAUAGGCAGCCGUCCCCCGCGAGGUCUGACCGGUGCCUGCGGAAGGGGCGUGAGAUCGCCGGUCGACCGCUGAAAGGUUCGCCCCGACUUUCAGCGGUUUUAAGAGGGGCUGUGGCUUGCAAGGGCCUGCCUGUGGGCUCUUGAGGGCCGAGAUCCAAACACAGGCUGCGCUCGGAGAAGCCUGGGGGUGCUCACAUUCGGACGGGGGUUCGAUUCCCCCCGCCUCCACCA
rnacentral:tmRNA from 2 species